CAUGCAAGUCGAGCGGCAGCGGGAAAGUAGCUUGCUACUUUUGCCGGCGAGCGGCGGACGGGUGAGUAAUGCCUGGGAAAUUGCCCAGUCGAGGGGGAUAACAGUUGGAAACGACUGCUAAUACCGCAUACGCCCUACGGGGGAAAGCAGGGGACCUUCGGGCCUUGCGCGAUUGGAUAUGCCCAGGUGGGAUUAGCUAGUUGGUGAGGUAAUGGCUCACCAAGGCGACGAUCCCUAGCUGGUCUGAGAGGAUGAUCAGCCACACUGGAACUGAGACACGGUCCAGACUCCUACGGGAGGCAGCAGUGGGGAAUAUUGCACAAUGGGGGAAACCCUGAUGCAGCCAUGCCGCGUGUGUGAAGAAGGCCUUCGGGUUGUAAAGCACU
rnacentral:rRNA from 1 species